AUUGAACGCUGGCGGCAGGCCUAACACAUGCAAGUCGAGCGGAUGACGGGAGCUUGCUCCUGGAUUCAGCGGCGGACGGGUGAGUAAUGCCUAGGAAUCUGCCUGGUAGUGGGGGACAACGUUUCGAAAGGAACGCUAAUACCGCAUACGUCCUACGGGAGAAAGCAGGGGACCUUCGGGCCUUGCGCUAUCAGAUGAGCCUAGGUCGGAUUAGCUAGUUGGUGAGGUAAUGGCUCACCAAGGCGACGAUCCGUAACUGGUCUGAGAGGAUGAUCAGUCACACUGGAACUGAGACACGGUCCAGACUCCUACGGGAGGCAGCAGUGGGGAAUAUCGGACAAUGGGCGAAAGCCUGAUCCAGCCAUGCCGCGUGUGUGAAGAAGGUCUUCGGAUUGUAAAGCACUUUAAGUUGGGAGGAAGGGUUGUAGAUUAAUACUCUGCAAUUUUGACGUUACCGACAGAAUAAGCACCGGCUAACUCUGUGCCAGCCGCCGCAGUAAUAC
rnacentral:rRNA from 1 species